UACGUAGGGUGCAAGCGUUAUCCGGAAUUAUUGGGCGUAAAGAGCUCGUAGGCGGUUUGUCGCGUCUGCCGUGAAAGUCCGGGGCUCAACUCCGGAUCUGCGGUGGGUACGGGCAGACUAGAGUGAUGUAGGGGAGACUGGAAUUCCUGGUGUAGCGGUGAAAUGCGCAGAUAUCAGGAGGAACACCGAUGGCGAAGGCAGGUCUCUGGGCAUUAACUGACGCUGAGGAGCGAAAGCAUGGGGAGCGAACAGGA
rnacentral:rRNA from 1 species